GGCUGCCUCUUGAGGAAGUAAUCUGUUUUGAAAGCAGAAAUAAGGUGUUCAACUCACCUGACAGCCU
rnacentral:tRNA from 1 species